GUGCUCGCUUAGGCAGUGCACAUACUAAAAUUGGAACGAUACAGAGAAGAUUAGCAUGGCCCUUGCGCAAGGAUGACACACAAAUUCGUGAAGCGUUCCAUAUUUUU
rnacentral:snRNA from 1 species